AGAAAUAAGCAAAUAAAUUCUGCAGAUGGGCACAUCAAAGUGUCGUCUAGAAACCUGAGUUUUCAACACUGUCCAUUUGUGCUCACUAAUCCAGUUUGUUGUUCUAGGGGUGUGUGGGUAUGUAUGUAUGUAUGUAUGUAUGUAUGUAUGUAUGUAUGUAUGUGUGUGUGUGUUUACGUACAUGGAAGCCAGAAGAGAGUAUCAGGGUCUUCUACUUAGUCACCUCUGCUUGUUAAUGUCCAUCCUGGAAUCCAAACUGCAGUGACAGACUUGAACUCUGGCUCCGAUGACUUCACAUCAAGCGCUUUUAACUACUGAAUCAUGUCUCCAGUUCAUGACAUUAUUGAAGCACUUGCUUCAGUCUGAGCCCCUCCUUGCUGCUCCCAUGUGCCUCUUCCUUCAUGUCCCUGUUCUACCUGCCCCUGCUCAUGAGUAGUUUGAGUUUUCAUGUGUUCCUUAGACUGCUUGCCCAUUCAUUAUAUUUGUCCUAGACAACUGAAGAACAGUGUCAGUUCCUACAGCAAGUUCCAGAACCUGAUCUUCAUAGGUUUUGUUUGUUUGUUCUUUUGGAGGGGAGCUGAAAUGAUCUUUCCAUAUAACCCAAGCCUGCCCUCAGCUUCUUUUUAUUUAGUGUGCACGUGCACACACACAUCUGCAUCAGUUUGCAUUUACCAUAUACAUGCACAGCACCAACAGAGGUCAUAAGACUAAAAUCCCCUGUACUGGAGCUACAGGUGGUUGUGAGCCACCAUAUGGCUGCUUGGAGCUGAACCAAGGUUGACUGCAGGGUCAGCAAGUGGUUUUCAACACUGAGCCAUCUCUCCAGCCCCUUCCUUACCUUAAGUUCUUGAUCCUUUUUUAGUUUUGUUUUUUUGAGACAGGGUUUCUCUAACAGUCCUGGCUGUCCUGGAAGUUUAUGGACUGCUGGCCUUAAACUCACAGGUGUUCACCAGACUCUGCCAUUUGUGUGCUAAGAUUAAAGGUAUGCACCAGAAGGAAAACUACACACACACACACAUACACACACACACACACACUGUGUGAACAGUGUUCUUUCUGUCUGUAGACCUGCAGGUCAGAAGAGGGCACCAGAUCUCAUUAUAGAUGGUUAUGGGUUACCAUAUGGUUGCUAUGAAUUGAACUCUGGACCACUGGAAGAAUAGCCAGUGCUCUUAACCUCUGAGCCAUCUCUCCAGCCCAAGACUGUCUUAAUUGUCAAACCAUCUGUGUUUGUCAUAGUUGGUCAUGGAGCAAACCUGUAAUCCUAGCAGGCGGGACGAUCAGGAGUUCAAGGUCUUUCACAGCUACAUAGCAGGUUCCAGCCUGUGUUAACAUGAAAUCCUGUCUGAUAAAACAACCUCAAAAUAAAACAAAGUAAUAAAAUUG
rnacentral:lncRNA from 1 species